CCUACGGGAGGCAGCAGUGAGGAAUAUUGGUCAAUGGUCGGGAGACUGAACCAGCCAAGCCGCGUGAGGGAUGAAGGUACAGAGUAUCGUAAACCUCUUUUGUCAGGGAACAAAGGCGGGGACGUGUCCCCGGAUGAGUGUACCUGAAGAAAAAGCAUCGGCUAACUCCGUGCCAGCAGCCGCGGUAAUACGGAGGAUGCGAGCGUUAUCCGGAUUUAUUGGGUUAAAAGGGUGCGCAGGUGGUCUGUUAAGUCAGCGGUAAAAGCCCGGGGCUCAACCCCGGCCCGCCGUUGAAACUGGCAGUCUCGAGUGGGAGAGAAGUAGGCGGAAUGCGCGGUGUAGCGGUGAAAUGCAUAGAUAUCGCGCAGAACUCCGAUUGCGAAGGCAGCAUGCCGGCUCCAAACUGACGCUGAGGCACGAAAGCGUGGGUAUCGAACAGGAUUAGAUACCCGUGUAGUC
rnacentral:rRNA from 1 species